AAUGGUUGAGAAAAAGGACUAGAGAAUGAGAUUUGCAAGUUGUGUGACUUGGGCUUCUUGGGACUCUGUGCUGGGCAGCCCUGGGCUUGAUCUUUGCAAGCUGCAGUCUGAGUAAAUGACAAAGUGGAUACUUACAUGACUGGAUACAACGAUGGAAUCAGUUACUGGCAUUUUGAUGGUAAUUCCUGUUAUGGGGAGGCAUCAGCAGGUACCUGAAUUAUUUAGAACUAUUCAUUUCCAAGAUAAAUUUUACCCUUUCAAAAAUUACAACAAAGAACAAAAGGCUACAUCAAAUGUUCCUGGUGGGGUCUGGUACUUUUGAAACAGGUGGAUGAUGCUAUUUUUGUGCAAUUUUAAGCUGUACAAUACAACAUCAACAGUGUAAAAUAGUUUUGUGUUAUAAGACUAAUCAUCACUAUUCCAGUAAAUGAAAAAUAUAUGUUGCUUAUUUGUAGAGUAGUUGGGAAUUAAAGAAAACUGAAAACAUUUUGUGCAUAUUCCCUAUAAUGAACAGCUAUGUCUGAGACAUUGACAAAGAGAGG
rnacentral:lncRNA from 1 species